rnacentral:misc_RNA from 1 species
AUCGACAGGAAAUGAUAUUGAGUUUAUUAGAUAAAGAGCAAAAAGUAGCAAGACAAGUUAUGUCUAUAACUUCAUUUAGGAUGCUUUAAGAGGGAUAAACUAAGGUCUUUAAAUUGCAUUCAAUCUCAGAUUGCUGGUUAUUGACAGUCUCCCUUGACAGAUUGAUUAAAAGUUUAUGCAUUAAUUGUUUGUAGAAAGAUACCUAGCACAUAUUCUUGUUGAAGGACCAUAUAAAUGUUGUUUGUAGAAAGAUACCUAGCACAUAUUCUUGUUGAAGGACCAUAUAAAUG